AUUAGUAAGUGAAUGUUAAUUUAUUGGUGAUCAAGAAGGCCCGUGGUCUAGGCAAAGGCAAGUGACCUCCAUUAUAUUUGCGAGGGAUGCUAGCUUAAGGUCUACUCAGGUGAUGAAACCUACAUCAUAAUUUGUUGUUAUGAGGACCUGCGUACGCGAAUUUUUUUU
rnacentral:snRNA from 1 species